CUACCACUGGGGAAGAAUCUCUUUUGGAGAUUGCUCCUCUUGGAGUCUUCUCAGUGAGCCCAGGACAAGGCAGGCAGAAAAAUUUGUCUCUGAAGACAGGAAGAGAUGAGUGUUUCUUGCCUGACUGAUCUGAGGAGUCAGGACUCCCAGCUGCAGCGAGUUGCCGAAAGCUUCAUUCCUUACAGUGAUGACAAGCCCAGCCAUGGCUCCAAAGCCCCUGUCAGCUAAGAGAUUAUUUGCUAAAGAUGAUCUGUCAAGGGCUGUCCUAGCUGAUGCCUCUGUGCCACUCUUCAAAUAAACGAGCAGCCUUGCAUCACUGUGAGUGACCCAGCACACCCCCGUGAUCCUCUGCAGGAGCAGUAAGGGCCGUAUGGCAACAGCCACAGGCAUGGAACUGAUUAGCUGUGACCAACUGGUUUUCUGACAGGAGGCAACAGUCAAACCAAGGUGGUUUGGGAACAGGCAGGGGUUAUCUUCUUCCCCUAUCAAGGCUGUAGUGAAGAAGAUGGUGGGAUAGACCAAGGUCUUGAAGUUCCUGUGGGGCUUAGCACAGUUUCUACUCAUCCUAUUCAGGGAUGCUCACUGACAGCUCCUGCAGGCAGCUAGAUCCAGACGUGUAUUUGCAGCCUGAUGACAGCAGCUUAUACUGUCUUACCUUGGGAAAGUUAUCAUGAACAUCUGUGUUUUUUUCUGUGAGAUCUGAUGUGCCAGUCCUUAGCUCCCCUCUGAAGGGAAACAGCAGUUGUUGCAGUCUGAAGCUGCCUCUCUCCAGCUCAGAGCAAUUUUGAAGGGGAAAAUAUUUUCUGAACAGCUGUGCCUGAUUGUGCUUUUUCUUCUUUUGCUGGAAAAAAAAAAUAAA